AUUGAACGCUGGCGGCAGGCCUAACACAUGCAAGUCGAACGAGUGGCGGACGGGUGAGUAAUGUCUGGGAAACUGCCUGAUGGAGGGGGAUAACUACUGGAAACGGUAGCUAAUACCGCAUACCAUCAGAUGUGCCCAGAUGGGAUUCGCUUGUUGGUGGGGUAAGGGCUCACCAGGGCAACGAUCCCUAGCUGGCCUGAGAGGAUGACCAGCCAACCUGGAACUGAGACACUGUCACGACGCCUACGGGAGGCAGCAGUGGGGAAUAUGUCACAAUGGGCGCAAGCGUGAUGCAGCCAUGCCGCGUGGAUGCAGAAGGGCUUCGGGUUGUAAAGUACUUUCAGCGGGGAGGCGUUACCCGCAGAAGAAGCACCGGCUAACUCCGUGCCAGCAGCCGCGGUAAUUC
rnacentral:rRNA from 1 species